rnacentral:rRNA from 1 species
GCGAGUGUUUGGGUGUUAAACCCAUACGCGUAAUGAAAGUGAACGGAGGUGAGAACCCUUAAGGGUGCAUCAUCGACCGAUCCUGAUGUCUUCGGAUGGAUUUGAGUAAGAGCAUAUUGGGUGCUACCCGAAAGAUGGUGAUCUAUACGUGAAUAGGGUGAAGCCAGAGGAAACUCUGGUGGAGGCUCGCAGCGGUUCUGACGUGCAAAUCGAUCGUCAAAUUUGCGUAUAGGGGCGAAAGACUAAUCG